AUAUUCUUGAUCAGCAUCAAUAGCCGAGUCGAUUGAGCCAUGUCUGUCUGUCCGUCCGUCUGUCCGUCUUGUUGAGCGCCUGGAUCUCAGAGACCAUAAAAGCUAGAGCCACAAAAUUGGCUCCAGACUGCUGUGUGCACGCCCCCUUAAGCCCCCGUAAAAGGGCGAAAACCUCCCAAAUCUACAAUUUUGAAGGUGGGAAUGGCCAUAUCUAUCAGAUCACCAAAUUGGGAUCCGAUUGGAUCAUUGGAUAAACCCACCCUGUCC
rnacentral:lncRNA from 1 species